rnacentral:lncRNA from 1 species
AGUUCCUGGUACAUUACUGGAAGAAGCCUUCAGGUACGAUGGCGAGGCAGCGUGCAGCAGAACUUCUCUAAUAACAUAGAAUAAUGUUUGUGAAAUGAAACGUGUGACUUUAAUGAACACUUUCCUUCAGAAAGGAUGUUCGCUUUAUAAACAGCUGUUUAUUUGUAUUAAGGAGUGAACUCUUCAUUCUUGAGGAAUGUUCAGAUUUGGCUUAAUAACGGUUGAAAGGAUCUUUUAGUUUCUCUUCACUUUGUUCAUCGGCACCUGAUUUAAAGCAUCAGUCAUCACUUUCACACUAAGUGACCAGCUUGUUAUUAAUUCAACGAGCAUCCAGGAAGCAGCGUGUAGCCGGUCCUGCUCUCUACAUCAUCCCAUCUGUUCUGACAAACGCAGCAGCAGCACUAGCAGCAGCACUAGCAGCACUAGCAGCAGCACUAGCAGCCUACAGCACUAACAGCAGCACUAGCAGCAGCACUAACAGCAGCACUAGCAGCAGCACUAACAGCAGCACUAGCAGCAGCACUAACAGCAGCACUAACAGCAGCACUAGCAGCAGCACUAACAGCAGCACUAACAGCAGCAGCACUAACAGCAGCACUAGCAGCAGCACUAACAGCAGCAGCACUAACAGCAGCAGCACUAACAGCAGCAGCACUAACAGCAGCAGCACUAACAGCAGCACUAACAGCAGCAGCAGCACUAACAGCAGCAGCACUAACAGCAGCAGCACUAACAGCAGCAGCACUAACAGCAGCAGCACUAACAGCAGCAGCAGCACUAACAGCAGCAGCACUAACAGCAGCAGCAGCACUAACAGCAGCAGCACUAACAGCAGCACUAACAGCAGCACUAACAGCAGCACUAACAGCAGCACUAACAGCAGCUCUAGCAGCAGCACUAACAGCAGCACUAACAGCAGCACUAACAGCAGCACUAACAGCAGCACUAACAGCAGCACUAGCAGCAGCACUAACAGCAGCACUAACAGCCAUUUGAAAGCAGCAUUAUUUUAACUUCCUGGUAAUAAAGAUGUUCCCUGUUGCUG